rnacentral:rRNA from 1 species
UAGCCUUCGGGUUCGCAUUGUAAUUUGUAGAGGAUGAUUUGGGGAAGCCGCCUGUCUAAGUUCCUUGGAACAGGACGUCAUAGAGGGUGAGAAUCCCGUAUGUGACAGGAAAUGGCACCCUAUGUAAAUCUCCUUCGACGAGUCGAGUUGUUUGGGAAUGCAGCUCUAAAUGGGAGGUAAAUUUCUUCUAAAGCUAAAUAUUGGCGAGAGACCGAUAGCGCACAAGUAGAGUGAUCGAAAGAUGAAAAGCACUUUGGAAAGAGAGUUAAAAAGCACGUGAAAUUGUUGAAAGGGAAGCGCUUGCAAUCAGACUUGUUUAAACUGUUCGGCCGGUCUUCUGACCGGUUUACUCAGUUUGGACAGGCCAGCAUCAGUUUCGGCGGCCGGAUAAAGGCUCUGGGAAUGUGGCCUCCACUUCGGUGGAGGUGUUAUAGCCCAGGGUGUAAUACGGCCAGCCGGGACUGAGGUCCGCGCUUCGGCUAGGAUGCUGGCGUAAUGGUU